CGACCGGGACGCGGGGCUCGGUGGGCCGGGCGGGCCGCGGCGCGCUCACCUGCCGUGGAACCAGUCCUUGCAGGCGUCGCACUCGAUCAUGAAGCGGAUGUUUAUUGAGCACCUACUGUACGCUGACAGCCACACACCAGAGCGCAGAAGGGUCUCAGCUCUCCUGUUCACCCUGGAGUAGAGACAGCCAGGGGUGGACUUGAAUGUGAGUAGUGUGGAGGAGAGCAAGGAAAAACAGGCUGACCACUGGUACCUGCCUUGCCAGAACUCUCCUCUCAUAGACAACGUGCAGGCCCGCCUGCGAGCUGUAGAAAGGAAGGAGAAUCCUCACCACGGAAAGUGAGCUGGCCUGCUGGAGAGCAGCCAAGCAAGAGUGGGCUGUAAACAAGCAGAGCCACCCCCGGCACACAGACCCUAUGCCCCCACAUAGGGAUAGUGGCUAUGAAUCCCUCAUGUGGACCACUGCUUCCAGCCCAUGUCCUGUGCCCUACACGAGAGAAUGGAAAAAUCAGGAUCAAGCUCAGGGAGAGAUAUGGUGGUACUCUAAAAGAUCUAUUGCUAUGAAAAUGUCCUCAUGACUGCGGCAACCUGCAGGCAACUCUUGAGAUUAUGGGUUACUACUGGUCAUGCCCAGAUACAAAGUCCCACUGCUUAAAAUCAUGGCCAUAUCACAGUAAGUGGAGUUUAACAGAACAUAGCAGAGGUAUACAACAUAGAAUCACCCUUGUUUGAAUUAUUUAUUUCUGAAUUUAUUGAGAAGAAUGGAGCAAGACCUUGAGUGCGUUCAUUCAUGUAUGAGUUACACAGCCACUGAGGGACUGCAACUGUGGAUUUAAAAAACGAUGUUAGGUUUGAGGACAUAGCUCAAUAGCAAAGAACUUGCUUAGCAUGCAUGUAGCCCUGAGUGCAAUCCUCAGCAAUGAAGAUAAAAAGUAUAAUUUCAAGAUAAUUAUCAGUUUUAGUAAUGACAACUACUGUUAAUUUAACAGGCAAAAGUUACUAAAAUAAAAGCUAAAUAAUGUGUGAAUAAGAUUUCCAUUACUGUGUAUACUUGACUUCUAUCAAAAAAAGUUUAAUGUUUUAGAGAUACCAGCUUAACAAAUAUCCCAGAUGGCCUCAAACUCUUGCUCUCCUGUCUCUGGUUCCUAAGCAUGUACCACAAUGCCUGCCCAAAAGCUUCCUAAAAUUGACACUGCAGUGUUUUUUUUCCCCUUAAAUUGUAAAAAGUUAUUUAAGUGUAUGUAUACUACAUGAGUGUCCAGUGUCCAUCCAGAAGCUAGAAGAGGGCAUUAGGUCCCUAGGAACUGGAGUUACAGACAAGUAUAAAUUGC